CAAGCCAAAGAGCUUGUGGAGUCCACCUCCAGUGAGGGUCCCCACCAUGGCCUGGAUGGUGCUUUUUCUUGGGCUACUUGCUCAUGGCUCAGGAGCAGAUUCUCAGAUUGUGGUGACCCAGGAGGCAUCGUUGUCAGUGUCUCCUGGAGGGAUAGUCACACUCACUUGUGGCCUCAGCUCUGGAUCAGUCACUACAAGUAACUACCCCAACUGGUUCCAGCAGACCCCAGGGCGGGCUCCUUGCAGAUUAUCUAUGACACAAAAAGCCACCUCUCUGGGGUCCCUGAUCUCUUCUCUUGAUCCAUCUCUGGGAACAAAGCCGCCCUCACCAUCACAGGAGCCCAGUCUGAGGACGAGGCUGACUAUUACUGUUUUACACGACAUGGCAGUGGGAGCUGCUACACUUACCCACAGCAUCUCAGAUAAGGAAGAAGUGACACAAAAACCCCUGGGACCUUGUAUCUUGUCCUUGUCAUUGAGAAGCUUCUGUGGAGCUUACAGUCAGGUGCAUGACAGUGAUGCUAAGCACAGUGAUAGAGACAGAUGAGUGGGUGGGCCACAGUGCUGGGGCCAUAGCU